AUGUCAACGGCUCUAUGGAUUUCCACGUCACCAAAAAGAACUUUGUUGAGCUCAGCGGGGCAUUGCUUGGCAGCCCUCGUCAAAUAUAACAGGCGCCAAGCCUCCGAGGUCUCGAGAGCACCCUUCAAUUGUUACCGCAACCGCCCGACCGGAGAGGCCCUCCAGAAGGAGCUCCGGGUCGUCCCCACCCUGGACCGAGCGGUCGGAAUUCGUGAUGCCGUUCUGGAGGAUCAAAGCGGACGGCCCGAGUUCUUCCUUGUUCCGGGCGGGACAAACAAGAGUCCCGUGGCCAUCAUCGUCCCCCGCUCGCUCCUCGCUGGUAUCGAUCUACUGAACGCGACCAGGGACGCCCUCGUGAUCCCACCUCCGACCGGUGGCACCGGCAAAAAUAAGUCGCAGAAGAAGGGAAAGAAGCAGCAGCAGCAGGGUGCCGAGGAGGUGGGCCAGAGUCACAUCAACGACCUGCUCUUCCCCCGUCCAGACUCCUCGCACCCGUACGAUGUGGUGCACGUCAUAGGGCGCCUUAGAGAACGAUCGCCGGCUUCAGCGUCCCGAGCUGCUAACUACGAGGACCAUAAGAACUCGGCUCGCAACUAUGGCAUCGGAGCUGCCCGAUCGCCGGCUCGCAGAAGCUCUCAACGUCCACCUAGAUCACUCGGAGACCACGAGCGCACGGUAUUACAAAUCGGCAGAUCCAACUACGGCUCCUCGGGCUUUCGCUGACGUCGACGUGCAUCGUGAUCCUCGAGAGGCAAAGCCGGCGACCCUAGGUAAGGGAGAAGAAACGCCAUCACUUAAAAAGACAGGAAUCCCGGCGGAACUCGUGCGAGACAUCGCGCAGUUCGGAGUUAACGCGGCGACGGAAAGAAUUCUCGCCUCGAUCGAAAAGGAAGUGUCGCUUCCGUAGACGACUUCAUGACUCCAUCCUACACCACGCCUUCCCCGCCGCAGACUCGCGCACGCAGAGCAUGCUCCUGCUGACUAGGGAGGCCUCACCUGUCGAUUCCUCGCCGCGGCGUCCGUCUCCACCUAGCCGGCCACAGAAGUCCGUGCAUUUCACCAAGCAGCUCGCUACCGCGCUUUACGGCCCCGCAGCCGCCAUCGGUGGCCCCCUUGCAAGGCCCGACUUAGAUGCAGCGGCAGAAGUGGACUGGUCCUUACAUACACCGGAACGACUAUACAAUAAAAAAUCUAAGCGAGGCGCCGCAGUUGAAGGGGUUAUGGAAGUAUCCGAGCGCAGAACGGUGCUCGUAUGAACAUCCACACUGUGAGUAGGGAGAAAAAGAGACCACUUCCUAUUUUCUCAGUUGCUUUGUAUUUUCUGUGCUGUUCGGUGCGUGAUCUUUUCCAAGUUCUCUUCGUGCUCCCAAAGUGUUAAAAUGUGCUUUCCUUCGUUAACUUCUGAGGCCUCUGUUCGCGUGCCUGUACCUGUAUCGGAGGGGGGGUGAGGAAAAUGUAGGGAGUGUGGAGGUUGAGGAGGCUGUAGGGGGAGUUGAUAUUCCCGAAAACCUGUGUGAAGUAUCAGGUGUGGAUGAUUCGGAGGGGGGUGAGGAAAAUGUAGAGGGUCUAGAGGUUGGGGAGCCUGUAGGUGGGGUUUAUAUUCCUGAAAACCCGUAUGAGGAAUCGGAUGAUUCAGAGGAUGAGGAUUUGAAUCCUAUUUUAGUAAUAAGGCGUUAUGAGGAGGUGAGAGAGCGAGUGUUUUGUUUUAUUAAAUUGAGGGGUGGAACGGCUUUCCUCACACACUUAAUUUCCGAAACUUCCUCCUGGCCGUUUUCUUCUCGGAUUCGGAGAGACACUGUAAAGGCCUUAUUUGUAACAGCGUUUUAUUGUGUCUUGAGUGGGUCUAUUAUAAAUCCACAAAAAUUCAGGUGGGCAAGGCCUACUCAAUGGAGAAGAGUAAAAGAUAUUUAUUGUUCACCUUUAUGGUGGCUCUACUGGAAACUGAAACUUGGCCCUGCGCUGGGUUUCAGAUACUACAGUACACGAGUAGUAAAUUUGAUGGCAAAUGAAAUGAUUACACAUGAUGUGACAUGCAAAGUCAGGAGGUUAGGUUAGGUUUAGGGCCCGUUUGUUCUUUCUACAGACUAAACUAUCACCACUCACGUGAUGGAUGAAGCUACCGAGAGAUUCUUCCGGGAAAGAGCAAAGCGUGCAGCCGAUCCCACGUCCGCCUUAUCGGACUCCUUUACGGUCAGGCUCGCGUCCAGAUUCCGACGGGGUGCGACUUCACAAAAGCCUGCAAUGACGCCGCCCUGACUAGCUUCACCUUAGAACCUUAAAACCAAAUACCACAUAUCAACAAUCGCCAGUGCCUUACUAGAUCAAGCAAGAUUAAUC
rnacentral:lncRNA from 1 species